rnacentral:lncRNA from 1 species
AAUAGAGGGAGCCAUUAUAGGUUUAAAGAGAAAUCUGGCACUAUUGAAAUUUCCAGAGAUCUACAAGGAUGACACCAACUAACAAUCAAUCUAAGCAACAGUGGAGAGGCUACCUUAAAUGUCUUUCCCUGAUAAUGAGAUUGAUGUCUUCCUUAUACACCAUCCUAGAGCCUUCAUCUAGUAGCUAAUGGAAAUAGAAGCAGACACCCACAGCUAAACACUGAGCUGAAAUCCUAGAAUCCAGUUGCAGAGAAGGAGGAGUGAUGAGCAAAGGAGUCAAGACCAGGCUGGUGAAACCCACAGAAACAGCUGAUUUGAACAAGGGGGAGCUCAUGGACCCCAGACUGAUAGCUGGGAAACCAGCAUAGGACUGAUCCAGAUCCCUGAAUGUGAGUAUCAGUAAGGAGGCUUCAGCAAUCUAUGUGGCCUCUGGUAGUAGUUCGGUAUUUAUCUCUAGCAUAGGAAUGGACUUUGGGAGUACAUUCCACAUAAAGGAAUUCCACUCUCUCAGCCUAGACACACGGGUGCGGAGGGAGGGGGGGAUCUAGGCCCUGCUCCAAAGGAAAUGACAGGCUUUGAAGAUCCUCAUGGAAGGUCUCACUCUCCCAGGAUAGCAGAAAGGGGAUGGGAUAGGGAGUUAGUGGGAGGCAGGGGAGAAAGGGAGGCAGAGGGAACUGGGAUUGACAUGUGAAACAAUAUUGUUUCUAAUUUAAUUUAAAAGGCACAAUGAGACAUGCAGAUGAUGUGACUGGGACUUGAGUGUUUUCAUGCAUUCACAGAAGCGCUGCUGCAGUGUGAGCAGGGUUUGGAAUUUGACCUGUGAAGUCUGAGUGUCCAUUGAAUUUAUUAUUACACCUUCUUACUAAUCAGGCAUACUUUCUUGAUAGAAAAGUACAUCUGCCAUAGUACCUCCUAACAAUAUCACCUUCAAAUGUGUGGUCAGAGAAGCUACUGGGUACAUGGUUGCAAGAAGAAAUUCCACCAGCCAGGGAGCAAGCAGCGACUCCUUUGGGAGAAACAGGGGCAGUCUACAGAGCCAACUUGGCUUCUCACUCAUUUCAUGCUCACUCUAAAACCUUCCUUCAGCCCUCCUGGGGGGAGAGUCCCUGCUGACUGUUUGUUCAUUUUUAAAGGCAGCUUUCCUUGGCAGCCAUCUCAACAAGGAAUCCGGAGCCAAUGCAAUGAACCAUUAUUCUGGAGUAGUUCAGUGUUCUCUCACUCUGCAGGAGUUUUAAGUUUUCUAUCCUAUACAUGCUGCCACAGAUCCCAAGAAAGGUGUGCAUGCUACGAACUGAAUUCUUUCAACUUUCUGGGAACUCUAUUUUUUUUUCUGCCACCUACCAUUCCAAAUUUCAAUUUUAUUUGUUACUAGUGCAAUUGUAAUUGUAGUCCCAUAAACCAAAGCCAUCCUCUCUCUAUCUUUCCUCAGUCCAAGAUGAGCAGCUUUCCUUCCUUAACUACCAAGGUCCACAAGUAUGUCUCCCUCUAGUCUUCACAACAUCUAGAGCUUUUCUCCUUAAAACUUCUUCCCACGUGUCACUAAAAUCAUUUCCAGACUAACCUGUAAAAUCCUCCCCUCUACUCCUGCACCAACCAGAGUUAGUUACUUAUGGGAGAAUGAAGGCAAUUCCGUGGCUACACCACAAAUUCCCAGUCUCUAAACUUAAAAACUUGUAUAAUUACAAGUAUCAGCUACUGUAGACAUUUGUAGAAGCCUCAAAUCCUGCUACAAGUACAUAGGAUUUUCAUGUGUGUUUCAGUUAAAGCACAAUGUUCCAUAAGAAAAACUAACCUGAGUUUUCAGCCCACUGAAUUUUCCAAAUCUUGAUAUUCCCAUGUAUACUGAUGCCAGAAGCAGACAAACAAAUAUGAUUAACCACCUACAAACCCACUGUGCUUCCCAGACUCCCACACUCCUGCAUUAAAACAAUACAGAUUAUACUGCAAUUUCUUUUCAUUUCUCUAGCUUCUGUGCUUUAAAAAAUACAUUAUAUACUCACGCCCAUGGCUUCUGUAAUUCAACACUAUUCCUGGGAUUCGUCCAUGCUGUUUGAUGAAGCUUUGUCCUUCCUAUUGCUGCAUUUCAUUGCUCAUCUAUUGUACUAUUGAUGGAAAUUUGGCAAGCUUCUGAUUUGGAAGUAUUUAAAAAUGAACUGUUGUAAAAAUUUAAGACAGGUCUUAGUAAGCUUAGCUGGGCAUUUCUAAUUGAUGUACACUUGAUAGCAAAAUUGCUAUAUGUCAAUGCAUAAUAGUUAUAUCUUAGCAUAUGCAUACAAACUGUGGCUGAUUCAUGACUAGAUGGUGACAAAACACUCCUUGAAUUGAUUGCAUUAAUUGACACAGUUUGGCAUGAUGCUGUAGUACAAUUUGCCCCCUUGCAGAGGUGUAUCUGAGGCUGUAUAAUUUUUGAAGAAUGGACUUAUUUUUCAAAGGUUUUUUUCUUUUUUUCUUUUAUUUUGCUUUUUUUUUCUUUCUUUUCCAUUUGACAAGGUCUUCUUGUGUUGCUCAGGUUGUCCCAGAAAUCACUAUGCAUUAGUGCAAACUGCAACUAGCUGCUACACUAAAAGGUUUCUGUCUUUUAACUGCUGCCAGUCUGGAGAUGAGGGCAUAGCACAUUUCUUUUAUUAUCAAACACCAUGGAUAUUCACAUUUCCUUGGUGAUUGUAUGUAUUUUUCAUGAAGACUGGCUAGAUGGUGUCUUCCUUUUUGAAAUGUGUGUACUCAAGACUGUCCCUUCUAUUUCUACAUAGAUAUAUUGCUUGUGGUGUGGAAACUUCUCCACAAAAACUGAAUAUAUCUAUAUCUCUCUAUAUAUAUAUAUCCCAUUUUUCUGUAACAUUUUGAUGAAAUUGAAUUCUAAUGUAGUCCAACAUUUAAUUCAUGUGUAUCCUAAGACAGGAAAUAGUGCUUUCUUCAAUGCCAUGAGUAAGUACUGUAUGCUAUAUUUAAUAGAGAAACUUUCACAUUCAGUUAUAUCUUCAUCCUACCUAAUAGUUGACUUUAUGUAAGUUUUUCACACACAUGCAAAAAUUCCCAGUUUAAUAAAAAUCAACCUGAC